rnacentral:other from 1 species
UUACCUCUGCUGUGUUCGAGGUCUGGCCGCACGCCCCUGGCCUUUCCCAUAUCAUGGGGGCUAACGCCUGUCCGACGGCCAUGCCGUCGCAGGGGGGCCCCCACCUGAAACAUAAGGUUUCAGGGUUCGCCGCGAGACACGGCACAAGCGGAGGUUUU